AUGAACGCUGGCGGCGUGCCUAAUACAUGCAAGUCGAGCGAACAGACGAGGAGCUUGCUCCUCUGACGUUAGCGGCGGACGGGUGAGUAACACGUGGAUAACCUACCUAUAAGACUGGGAUAACUUCGGGAAACCGGAGCUAAUACCGGAUAAUAUAUCGAACCGCAUGGUUCAAUAGUGAAAGACGGUUUUGCUGUCACUUAUAGAUGGAUCCGCGCCGCAUUAGCUAGUUGGUAAGGUAACGGCUUACCAAGGCAACGAUGCGUAGCCGACCUGAGGGGGUGAUCGGCCACACUGGAACUGAGACACGGUCCAGACUCCUACGGGAGGCAGCAGUAGGGAAUCUUCCGCAAUGGGCGAAAGCCUGACGGAGCAACGCCGCGUGAGUGAUGAAGGUCUUCGGAUCGUAAAACUCUGUUAUUAGGGAAGAACAAAUGUGUAAGUAACUAUGCACGUCUUGACGGUACCUAAUCAGAAAGCCACGGCUAACUACGUG
rnacentral:rRNA from 1 species